rnacentral:rRNA from 1 species
AGAGCGAACGCUGGCGGCAGGCUUAACACAUGCAAGUCGAGCGGGCGUAGCAAUACGUCAGCGGCAGACGGGUGAGUAACGCGUGGGAACGUACCUUUUGGUUCGGAACAACACAGGGAAACUUGUGCUAAUACCGGAUAAGCCCUUACGGGGAAAGAUUUAUCGCCAAAAGAUCGGCCCGCGUCUGAUUAGCUAGUUGGUGAGGUAACGGCUCACCAAGGCGACGAUCAGUAGCUGGUCUGAGAGGAUGAUCAGCCACAUUGGGACUGAGACACGGCCCAAACUCCUACGGGAGGCAGCAGUGGGGAAUAUUGGACAAUGGGCGCAAGCCUGAUCCAGCCAUGCCGCGUGAGUGAUGAAGGCCCUAGGGUUGUAAAGCUCUUUUGUGCGGGAAGAUAAUGACGGUACCGCAAGAAUAAGCCCCGGCUAACUUCGUGCCAGCAGCCGC